rnacentral:rRNA from 1 species
UUAGAGGAAGUAAAAGUCGUAACAAGGUUUCCGUAGGUGAACCUGCGGAAGGAUCAUUAAAGAUUGCUAAAGGAAACAAGAGAGAGACGUACAUGGUUAAAAGCAAAAACUCCUGACGAGUUCAGGAAGGAUGCUCUCUCUCUCUGGCGCAAGCUAGAGAAGAAGUGGCCAUCGUGGUCGUUGUGCGUAUGCACCGCGAACGAUGUAAAACAAACAACCAAUGGCCUCUCAUACAGUAUAAUAUCUCUCGCCAUGGUAUACAGGCCUGGCAUCUGGUACGAGUCUCUCGCAGUCUCAAAACCAACCUUACAACUCUGAGCGGUGGAUCACUUGGCUUGUGGAUGCUAUGAAGACCAUAGCUAAGUGUGAGAAUGGCAGCGAGCCGUCGCUAUAUGCGCUGUCCUCUUCUUAUCACAUGUCGAAUGCACAUUGCGCCCCACCCAGCGGUCAACCUCCUGCAGACAAAAGCCUGGUUGGAACAAAGGGUGUGUGGCCCUCGAGCAACGGCGGGGGAGCCAGGAGCACACUAGCGUGCGGACCAACCACUCGUUAGUAGUCAGGCUGAACCCUAUGGUGGGGCACUCCUAGUGGAGUGUGGUGGAUCGGGCUCUUCUCUUGCGCUUUUUUUGCGAAAGUGUUUGAGUUUGUUGCUGGUUGAUUUGGGUCGACAUCAGUCGUGCCCAACUGCCUUGGCUCGUGCCUCUGUGCGUUUUACCUCAUACAUUGAAGGCCAACGCUGGCGAUCCCUCGUGCGGCCAGGGCACUACCUUCGCGGUAGUGCGCAGAGGUCCAAGAAUGUCGAAAAACGAGAGUCGGGUCUCUGGUGCUCUUCUCGCCGCACAGUGAGUGGGUGGUGUCCCUGCUUGCACGCUUCUGGUAAAGGUGUACUAUUCGAGAAUUACCUCACCUCUUUUUCUUGAUGCACGCACCACAAACAAACGCACGAGUUCAGGACGGCAUUCCCCAGUGUGAAGAAAAAGUAACAGAUUGGCAGUAUCGCACCACUCCACGUUCGUAACUUCGUGCGCGCAGGAAUGAGAGAGACCCGUCUGUUCGAUCCACCACCUCGACUUAGGAGAGGUUACCCGCUGAACUUAAGCAUAUCAGUAAGCGGAGGAAAAGAAACCAAUCAGGGAUUCCCUUAGUAGGGGCGACCGAAAAGGGAUGAGCCCAGCGCAUAACCUCCCGGGCCACCCGGCCUGCGGCGGAAUGUUGCGUUAAGGGAAAGGUCGUAGUCAAACCCCACAGCCACGCGAGCACUAAGUAAGUCACGAAUUGGCUAGCCCAACUAACGGAGGGAAAGUCUCCACGGAGGGUGUAAGACCCGUGUGGGCGCGUGUAAAUGCUGUGUGGGCUCGGCCUCUUUUCCCUGAGAGUCGCGUUGCUUGAGCAUGCAGCGCUAAGCAGGUCGUAAACUCGAUCUAAGGCUAAAUAUGUCCACAAGACCGAUAGCGAACAAGUACCGUGAGGGAAAGUGAAAAGCACUCUGAAGAGAGA